ensembl:lncRNA
AUGAGAAACACCAUUCUUCAGACGGCCCACUGAUGCCUUCCUCCCAACCUGGAUGAGCUCCACCUGUUCACUAAUGAAAGAGGUCAAAGGUCACCAUGUGUUUAAUCUGAGGUUUUAUAGGAGCAAUUUAGUUUUAAGUAGUUGAAUGUUUGAAAAUAUAAUUUUUAUUGUCAUUUAUUUCAUUUUUAGCCACAGUUGCAGACCUCUCUGUAUCUUCUCCAUUUUGUCUCCAGCAAGUAAUGAGCUGUCUUUCUCUCUGACCAGGUUUGAUCUGGCUCAGGUUGAGUUUUUCCAGCUCAGCUAUGUUUCUAAGGUGUUCUCUCUUCAGCUCCUCUAGUUUGGUGUAGUAUUCCUGUUUGGAGAAUGUGGGUCCCUGCAGAUGAGGGGCUGCACAUGGCUUCCCAUAGUCAACAUCAGAAAGAGAACUGAAGUCGCACGGCACUAUGUUAUCACCAUCAGUCUGCAGCUCACACACCUGAGAAACCGAAAACAAGCAAACCAGCCUGAAGUUCACUCGGCUGCAGCCUCUCUGUGCGCAGUAUCGGAGUCAUGGUCCAGGUACUUUAUUCUUCAGUACAGCAAAGCUCGUGAAUUCGCUUUCAUAUAGCUUCAGAUAAGUAUUUCUCUGCUUCCUUUCGCCUCUUGAUUUCGUUAGUUCCUCUCAGGUGUGGACUGCCACACUACAUUAGGUUAGGAUUUCUCACCACCCACAUCCACACUCAGAUGUGCCACAGUUUAUCCCUGUGGAUAAGCCCCAAAGGGUCACGGUUAAGAGGUCCAUGCCUGUUCACCAUAUGUCCCAUAUAUUCUUUAAACCCUGAUUUACACCUUUAAAUGUGAUUUAAAGUGAACUGUCCCAUUCCAAACCUCAAAUUAGAUUUAGAGAUUAACAACAACGUCAUUUACACUGUUGGCAACUCUUGCAAGACAAAUAAGCAACCACAGCUUCAAAAAUAAGCCCAAAACAAGCCCAAUAUUAUUUGAUUAUUUAUUAUCAUAAAUAUUAUUUAUCAUCAACUAUUUAUCCACUCUUUUAUUUGAAAAGCAAAAACAGAAUUUAUCUGACAAAAAUCACCUGUGAACAGAAUAAGACUGAAGAGAUGGAAAAGAAGAAAAAGGCAUUAGCUUUAAGAGAGAGCUGUAACAUAGCCACAUAUUUAGAGCCUAAUAAAAUAUAUUUGAACUGUUAGUAUUGGUAUAGG